ACAGCAGUCGCCACGGGAAUACAGAGGGUGCAAGCGUUAAUCGGAAUUACUGGGCGUAAAGCGCGCGUAGGUGGUUUGUUAAGUUGGAUGUGAAAUCCCCGGGCUCAACCUGGGAACUGCAUCCAAAACUGGCAAGCUAGAGUAUGGUAGAGGGUGGUGGAAUUUCCUGUGUAGCGGUGAAAUGCGUAGAUAUAGGAAGGAACACCAGUGGCGAAGGCGACCACCUGGACUGAUACUGACACUGAGGUGCGAAAGCGUGGGGAGCAAACAGGAUUAGAUACCCCUGUAGUCCCUGUCUCUUAUAU
rnacentral:rRNA from 1 species